UCCUGCCUCGCGAAAAGUCGCCUACUGUGGCGGCCUGCCCCCAUCCAAAUGUGAUGGAUCGGGAUAGCGAGGCAGGUUGGG
rnacentral:sRNA from 12 species